UUUCCGUAGGUGAACCUGCGGAAGGAUCAUUAUCGAAUAAAUUCGUGAAUGGAAGGAAAAGAACAAGGGGGAGAGAAGUUUGAAGUCGGAAGGGGUAGAGCAACUGUAGCUGGCCUUGGAAAACGAGGCAUGUGCACGUUUACUUGAUCUCUAAUGGCUUCCUAGUUCUUCUUCUUGGUCUCUACUUUCUUCAUUGAAAUUCACUACACACCUGUGCACCUAUUGUAGGUUCCUUCGGGGAUCUAUGUCUUUUCAUCACACACCAAAUGUAUGUCUAUAGAAUGUACUUUUCGUAGGUCUCUUUUGAUCUCGAAAAAAAAAAUGAAUACAACUUUCAGCAACGGAUCUCUUGGCUCUC
rnacentral:misc_RNA from 1 species